CUCAUGGGAGCUCUCGGGUAGCAAGAAAGGCCCCACACCCUCGUCCUGACUACGAUGGAUAGGAAUCGGGACGGUGAGAAUCUGAUCCACAAGCGGGCCACUGAAGAGACAGGCGAUGUCCUAUGCUCUCCAAUCCCUACUGUCUGUAGUGAGCAGGUCACAGACUCGAAGCCAAUCAUCCAUCUCCAUACUGACGUAAGUCGGCCAUCG
rnacentral:lncRNA from 1 species